AUCCAGACUCCUACGGGAGGCAGCAGUGGGGAAUAUUGCACAAUGGGGGAAACCCUGAUGCAGCGACGCCGCGUGAGCGAUGAAGUAUUUCGGUAUGUAAAGCUCUAUCAGCAGGGAAGAAAAUGACGGUACCUGACUAAGAAGCCCCGGCUAACUACGUGCCAGCAGCCGCGGUAAUACGUAGGGGGCAAGCGUUAUCCGGAUUUACUGGGUGUAAAGGGAGCGUAGACGGCUGUGCAAGCCAGAUGUGAAAGCCCGGGGCUCAACCCCGGGACUGCAUUUGGAACUGUGUGGCUGGAGUGUCGGAGAGGCAGGCGGAAUUCCUAGUGUAGUGGUGAAAUGCGUAGAUAUUAGGAGGAACACCAGUGGCGAAGGCGGCCUGCUGGACGAUGACUGACGUUGAGGCUCGAAAGCGUGGGGAGCAAACAGGAUUAGAUACCCCUGUA
rnacentral:rRNA from 1 species